UGUCACAUUGUUUAUAACUAAGUAAUUGUUUUGCUGCUACUUAGUGUUUUACUUUCUGUCUCCAUACAGACCCCAGCCAUGCACAAGUCAUCGGGAUCCUUGGCAGCAACAUCACCCUUCAAUUUACAUUCAACGUUAGCAUUACUGAAAACAGUCAAAUUGGAAUUUAUACAACAGGCGAGAAAAAGAUUGAUGAUUUUAAAAGUGGGAAAAGUUCCUUUGAUAUUUACCCCCAAAAGAAUUCUGUAUUUUACCACAUCACAAAUCUCACUCUAAGCCACAGUAACACCUACUGGGCCAGUUUACUUGGUGGUAUCCCGAGAAAAAGUAAUGAAGUGGAGCUGUUCAUUGAAGAGAAGAACACACACAGUACAGCAUGUCUUUAUCCUGUUUUCCUUCU
ensembl:lncRNA